GACGAACGCUGGCGGCGUGCCUAAUACAUGCAAGUAGAACGCUGAAGGAUGAGCUUGCUUCUCUGUAUGAGUUGCGAACGGGUGAGUAACGCGUAGGUAACCUGCCUGGUAUCGGGGGAUAACUAUUGGAAACGAUAGCUAAUACCGCAUAAUAGUAGAUGAUGCAUGACAUUUGCUUAAAAGGUGCAAUUGCAUCACUACCAGAUGGACCUGCGUUGUAUUAGCUAGUUGGUGGGGUAACGGCUCACCAAGGCGAUGAUACAUAGCCGACCUGAGAGGGUGAUCGGCCACACUGGGACUGAGACACGGCCCAGACUCCUACGGGAGGCAGCAGUAGGGAAUCUUCGGCAAUGGACGGAAGUCUGACCGAGCAACGCCGCGUGAGUGAAGAAGGUUUUCGGGUUGUAAAGCUCUGUUGUAAGGGAAGAAAGGGUGUGAGGGUGGAAAGUUCACGCUGUGACGGUAUCUUACCAGAAAGGGACGGCUAACUACGUG
rnacentral:rRNA from 1 species